CUUCCGAGGCCCCGUGAUUGGAAUGAGUACACUUUAAAUCCUUUAACGAGGAACCAUUGGAGGGCAAGUCUGGUGCCAGCAGCCGCGGUAACUCCAGCUCCAAUAGCGUAUAUUAAAGUUGUUGCGGUUAAAAAGCUCGUAGUCGGAUGUCUGUCUUCGGCCGGGCGGCGCCGCUCUGAAUCAAGGGUGUUGCGUUUCACGCUCUGGGAGCCCGGGUGUCAAAGCCCGACUCUCUUCACGGUCGGACAACAUCGCCGGAGUGGUGGUCGGUGCGUCGUUGUUGUAUCUGCGGCCAGAGUUGGAAAGUUCUUUCGGGUUCUUUUUUAAUUUUGGUCGUAGUUGACUCGAUUCGCUCCACCCAGUCAAUCGUUCGGGGUGCCCUUCACCGGGUGUCUCGGGCGGCCGGCAACGUUUACUUUGAACAAAUUAGAGUGCUCAAAGCAGGUGUAUCCCAACGCCUGAAUAUCGCAGCAUGGAAUGAUGGAAUAGGACCUCGGUCCGAUUUUGCUGGUCUUUUACUUUUGGACCCGAGGUAAUGGUCAAUAGAGACGGACGGGGGCAUUCGUACUGCGGCGACAGAGGUGAAAUUCUUGGACCGCCGCAAGACGAACAACAGCGAAGGCAUUUGCCAAGAAUGUUUUCCUUGAUCAAGAACGAAAGUUAGAGGUUCGAAGGCGAUCAGAUACCGCCCUAGUUCUAACCAUAAACGAUGCCAACCAGCAAUCCGUCGGAGUUACUCCAAUGACUCGACGGGCAGCUUCCGGGAAACCAAAGUCUUUGGGUUCCGGGGGAAGUAUGGUUGCAAAGCUGAAACUUAAAGGAAUUGACGGAAGGGCACCACCAGGAGUGGAGCCUGCGGCUUAAUUUGACUCAACACGGGAAACCUCACCAGGCCCGGACACUGGAAGGAUUGACAGAUUGAGAGCUCUUUCUUGAUUCGGUGGGUGGUGGUGCAUGGCCGUUCUUAGUUGGUGGAGCGAUUUGUCUGGUUAAUUCCGAUAACGAACGAGACUCUAGCCUGCUAAAUAGGUGACGGGUUUUAUCAAUUGAAACCGAAGGGAGUACGGAGGCGUCGGGAUCAGGUGGCGGCGAUUCGGGUCUCGGUGGGACUGGUUCCUUUAGUGAGGCAAUCUCUCGGCUUGGUUUCGUUGUGCUUUGUUCGUCGGGUGUACGGCCUUCACGGGUUGGUUGCCUGGCGGAUGAGGUAUGGCGGGGCUUUGUCGGGAAUGUCUCGCGGGGGCUGGCUCUAUUGUUAUUCGGUCGUCGUCAUCCCCGGCGAUACCUUCUGCUCUCGCGUCCGUCACGCAGUCUUCUUAGAGGGACAAGCGGCGUCCAGCCGCGUGACAGUGAGCAAUAACAGGUCUGUGAUGCCCUUAGAUGUCCUGGGCCGCACGCGCGCUACACUGAAGGAAUCAGCGUGUUUCACUCUCCCUGUCCGAAAGGACCGGGUAACCGCUGAACCUCCUUCGUGGUUGGGAUUGGGGACUGCAAUGAUCCCCAUGAACCAGGAAUCCCUAGUAGGCGCGGGUCACUAGCCCGCGUCGAUUACGUCCCUGCCCUUUGUACACACCGCCCGUCGCUACUACCGAUUGAAUGAUUUAGUGAGGCCUUCGGACGGGCUUGUCGGGGUGCCGUCGAGUGGGGAGCAAUCUCUGCCCGUGCGGUGCCUACCAACGGCGAGACUGAAAGAUGGUCGAACUUGAUCCUUUAGAGGAAGUAAAAGUCGUAACAAGGUUUCCGUAGGUGAACCUGCGGAAG
rnacentral:rRNA from 1 species